rnacentral:rRNA from 1 species
UGGGGAAUCUUGCGCAAUGGGCGAAAGCCUGACGCAGCGACGCCGCGUGAGGGAUGACGGCCUUCGGGUUGUGAAACCUCUUUCAGCCCUGGCGAAGCGAAAGUGACGGAUAGGGGCAGAAGAAGGCACCGGCCAACUACGUGCCAGCAGCCGCGGUAAUACGUAGGGUGCAAGCGUUGUCCGGAAUUAUUGGGCGUAAAGAGCUCGUAGGUGGCCUGUCGCGUCGGCUGUGAAAACUCGGGGCUCAACUCCGAGCUUGCAGUCGAUACGGGCAGGCUGGA